rnacentral:rRNA from 1 species
CCUACGGGUGGCAGCAGUAGGGAAUAUUGCUCAAUGGGCGAAACCCUGAAGCAGCAACGCCGCGUGGAGGAUGCAGGUUUUCGGAUUGUAAACUCCUUUUGUUAGAGAAGAUAAUGACGGUAUCUACAGAAUAAGCACCGGCUAACUCCGUGCCAGCAGCCGCGGUAAUACGGAGGGUGCAAGCGUUACUCGGAAUCACUGGGCGUAAAGAGCUCGUAGGCGGGAUAGCAAGUCAGAUGUUAAAUCCUAUGGCUUAACCAUAGAACUGCAGUUGAAACUGUUAUUCUAGAGUAUGGGAGAGGUAGGUGGAAUUCUUGGUGUAGGGGUAAAAUGCGUAGAGAUCAAGAGGAAUACUGAUGGCGAAGGCGACCUGCUAGAACAUAACUGACGCUGAUGCGCGAAAGCGUGGGGAGCAAACAGGAUUAGAUACCCUAGUAGUC